rnacentral:rRNA from 1 species
UACGGGGGGAGCAAGCGUUGUUCGGAUUUACUGGGCGUAAAGGGCGCGUAGGCGGUCAGCACAAGUCAGUUGUGAAAUCUCCGAGCUUAACUCGGAAAGGUCAACUGAUACUGUGCGACUAGAGUGCAGAAGGGGCAACUGGAAUUCUCGGUGUAGCGGUGAAAUGCGUAGAUAUCGAGAGGAACACCUGCGGCGAAGGCGGGCUGCUGGGCUGACACUGACGCUGAGGCGCGAAAGCUAGGGGAGCAAACGGG